UGAUUCUCAUGUCUCAGCCUCCCAAGUAGCUGGAACUACAGCCAGGAGCCACCACGCCUGGCUAAUUUUUUGUAUUUUUAGUAGAGACGGGGUUUUGCAAUGUUGGCAAGGCUGGUGCGAGACCCAGUUGCUACAAAAAAAUUAAAAUAUUAGUUGGGUGUGAUGGUGCACACACCUGUAAUCCUAGCUACUUGGGAGGCUGAGGCAGGAGGAUCUUUUGCCCUGAGGAGUUUGAGGCUGUAGGGAGCCAUGAUUGUGUCACUGCACUCCAGCCUGGGUGACAGUGUGAGACCCUGUCUCUAAAAAUAAUAAUAAAAAGAAAGCAUUUUCCUUCAGAAUUUUGAAGUUUGGUUUUCUGGUGUUGUUAUUGAGAAUUCCUAAGCAUUCUGAUAUAUGGUCCUUUACAUAUGACCUGUCUAUUCUGGAAGCUUAGUUCAAUGUCUGAUAUUUCAUGAUGAUAUUUAUUGAGAGUAU
rnacentral:lncRNA from 1 species